rnacentral:rRNA from 1 species
AUUACUUGACCAAGUGGCUUUACUCAAAGUAUAUGAUCAUGUACGAUUUGAACAAUACACAGACGAACAAAGAAGAAAAUCUUACGACUGUUUUAUAACCCCUUCUCACGGAAUAAUUCGUUGCCAUUUCCUUCAUUACGUCUAUUCCAAGUCCUAUCACUGUGUAGGACAGAACCAAAUCACAACCUCAAUGACCGGUGAUGGCGAACGUGUUCGAUAAGUUUGAGUGACAGACUUAGUCAAACCAAAGAACUCAGAGUUGAUGUUCGACUUUCUGUAGCUAGUCGACACGACGCUGUUCUUCGCCUUCCU